rnacentral:other from 1 species
AGCUUUUGCCUGGUGUCAGCAAUUUCCUUUUAUUGGGGGAGUAGGGAAGGUACCGAACAGCAGCAGGCUUUUAGACUUUAGGCAGGUGUGACUCUUGAACUUACUGUCUUAUUUCACUUCAUCCUCCAAGGCGUGCACUCACUUGGUGUGCCCACCUUUUAAGUGCAAGAACAACGGACAGGCAAC